ACAGAACUCUGGAGAGACCCUUAAUUGGGCGCCGAAGGUGCACCGCAGAUCACAUCUGCUUAAACUCUCAGGCAAAAGGACAGAGACGC
rnacentral:ncRNA from 1 species